GUGGCGAAAUAUAAUGUUUUUUUGAAAUAUUUUUUCACGGCAGUACUGAACAGUUAAUACAAAUUAAAUAUACUGUAGUAAUAAUGUUAAUUAUAAUCAUCAUCAUCAUCCUCAUCAUCAUAGCUCUGAUUUGUAUAGUGCCUUUCAUGGGACCCAAGGACGCUUAGAAUAACUCAUGGGGGGUAAUUAAAAUGUUGAGUAUGUUAGGUAUUGUGCAGACUGUCAACUUGACUUUGCUACUCUACAAGGACGUUGAAAGCUUGUUGUUGACUAGUCACAAAUCACUUGUUUUUGGCUUGAGGAGGAAGCGGAGCUGCUUGGAGAAACAGAUGAGUGUGCUUUGACGGUCCACUUGGGAGGGUAUUGAACGAUGCAGAAAAUACAUGAAAACAACCCUUCCAGUGCACUAAAAAGUCAAACGAAAGGGAUUCACUUCAAAUGAGACAUACGCACCAGCCAAAGCUUGAUGGCCUCCUGAACCCUUGCCUCUUCUGGCAAUCACAAGAAAUUCACAGACUGACUUCGGGUAUGCACAGCAACGUAGCCUGAUAAAAUGAACGUACUGACAACAAUUAAAAAUACUUUAAUAUGC